GACGAACGCUGGCGGCGCGCCUAACACAUGCAAGUCGAACGGAGCUUAGAGAGCUUGCUUUUUAAGCUUAGUGGCGAACGGGUGAGUAACGCGUGAGUAACCUGCCCUAGAGUGGGGGACAACAGUUGGAAACGACGGCUAAUACCGCAUAAGCCCACGGUACCGCAUGGUACUGAGGGAAAAGGAUUUAUUCGCUUUAGGAUGGACUCGCGUCCAAUUAGCUAGUUGGUGAGGUAACGGCCCACCAAGGCGACGAUUGGUAGCCGGACUGAGAGGUUGAACGGCCACAUUGGGACUGAGACACGGCCCAGACUCCUACGGGAGGCAGCAGUGGGGGAUAUUGCACAAUGGGGGAAACCCUGAUGCAGCGACGCCGCGUGGAGGAAGAAGGUUUUCGGAUUGUAAACUCCUGUCGUUAGGGACGAUAAUGACGGUACCUAACAAGAAAGCACCGGCUAACUACGUGCCAGCAGCCGCGGUAAAACGUAGGGUGCAAGCGUUGUCCGGAAUUACUGGGUGUAAAGGGAGAGCAGGCGGGAAGACAAGUUGGAAGUGAAAACCAUGGGCUCAACCCAUGAAUUGCUUUCAAAACUGUUUUUCUUGAGUAGUGCAGAGGUAGAUGGAAUUCCCGGUGUAGCGGUGGAAUGCGUAGAUAUCGGGAGGAACACCAGUGGCGAAGGCGGUCUACUGGGCACCAACUGACGCUGAGGCUCGAAAGCAUGGGUAGCAAACAGGAUUAGAUACCCUGGUAGUCCAUGCCGUAAACGAUGAUAAAUGGGUGUGGGGGGAUUGACCCCCCUCAGUGCCGCAGUUAACACAAUAAGUAAUCCACCGGGGGAGUACGACCGCAAGGUUGAAACUCAAAGGAAUAGACGGGGGCCCGCACAAGCAGUGGAGUAUGUGGUUUAAUUCGAAGCAACGCGAAGAACCUUACCAGGUCUUGACAUCCGAUGCAUAACACAGAGAUGUGUGAAAUCCUUCGGGACAUCGAGACAGGUGGUGCAUGGUUGUCGUCAGCUCGUGUCGUGAGAUGUUGGGUUAAGUCCCGCAACGAGCGCAACCCUUAUUGCCAGUUACUACGUUAAGAGGACUCUGGCGAGACUGCCGUUGACAAAACGGAGGAAGGUGGGGAUGACGUCAAAUCAUCAUGCCCUUUAUGACCUGGGCUACACACGUACUACAAUGGCGUUAAACAAAGAGAAGCAAGACCGCGAGGUGGAGCAAAACUCAAAAACAACGUCUCAGUUCAGAUUGCAGGCUGCAACUCGCCUGCAUGAAGUCGGAAUUGCUAGUAAUCGCGGAUCAGCAUGCCGCGGUGAAUACGAUCCCGGGCCUUGCAC
rnacentral:rRNA from 1 species